AGUGGCGGACGGGUGAGUAACGCGUAGGAAUCUAUCCUUGAAUGGGGGACAACCGUGGGAAACUACGGCUAAUACCGCAUGAUGCCUGAGGGCCAAAGACGAAAGUCGUUUGAGGAGGAGCCUGCGUCUGAUUAGGUAGUUGGUGGGGUAAAGGCCCUACCCAAGGCUACGAUCAGUAGCUGGUCUGAGAGGAUGAUCAGCCACAUUGGGACUGAGACACGGCCCAAACUCCUACGGGAGGCAGCAGUGGGGAAUAUUGGACAAUGGGCGCAAGCCUGAUCCAGCAAUGCCGCGUGGGUGAAGAAGGUCUUCGGAUUGUAAAGCCCUUUCGACGGGGACGAUGAUGACGGUACCCGUAGAAGAAGCCCCGGCUAACUACGUG
rnacentral:rRNA from 1 species